AGUGUUUCUUCGCUGUAACAUCUGGAAGUUUUGCUUCAUAUUAUCGACAAUGUAGAACUUUAAAUGGCGAAAAAAUCACCACAAAGAAAUAUUUGUUCACUUACAAAUAAGGCUAAUUUGCGAUCGAUUUGAGCCCCUCAAUCACAGAUUACCCUCUGAAGGUACGCCAUUGGCUAAUAUUCCCACCAUCUAAAUCCUUUUAACUAGAUAUAUUUUUAAUAGCUUUCCGAUCCAAACGAAAGACGCGUAAUGCGAAACUACCCGAGCAUGAAAUUUUGACACCUCUUUAACACGUAAACACCAAAAAAAGAUUUGAUAAAAAUGUACAAAAACAGUAAAUAGAAUGCCGGUAUGUGAGAGUGUGUUUAUAGUUCAUGGUUGAAUGUCUCUGGUUGAAUGUCGUAAGAUUAGACAUUGUAAUUAUACGGUCGUUAGUCCAAACAAGCGAACUAAUUAUCUGUAUUGUGGUUUGCUGAAGCUUUGAAAGCGAGGUGUUUGUUCUAGGAUUUAUAUGUGGCGAAUGGCAUUAAUCCUUUAGAAUAUCAAACAAUGACAAAUUCUUUGUGUGUUUUGGUGUAAACUUCUUGUGGUCGAUUCUGAGUUAAGGCAUUGAUGAAGAGCGAGUGAACAGAAGAACAAGGUUUUCUUGAGCUCGUGGUCUAUAAAGUUUGAAGGAAAAACGAUCUGAAAGACUUGUCAAUGGCCGCCAAUCAUGGAAAUGAUAUUCAGUAAUAGACGACAGCUAAUCCAAAUAAACCUGAAGUACAAACAAAGUCAUUAGCCAAGUUUACACCGCCAUAGAAACAGGAAACAUUCAAACAACACGUCUAAAUUGGUCCAACUCGAAACCGUUCGAGUUUGAUAAUCAUUCAUUUAACUCUUUCUACAAAAACCGGUCGAUUAAGUAAAAGAUUUUUGCACUGGGGAAGCAGGCAAGACGUAGAGGCCUUGACUUACUUUCAAGAUUUGGUAAAACCUUCAAAAUGAAAACCAACGGCAAGCAACAGAGUUUGCUGGCACAAAGGAAAGAAAAGGAAAAAAAGAAAGAACGUCUUUGUGGUUGGAGCCAGGAUAAAGAGACUCUUCUUCGAGAUGACAUAGGAAUUGAAUCGUGGUUUGUUGAUGAAUAUAAUUCUGAUGACGAAGAUAAAACAGAUCGGCGCUACAAAUGUGCUUUAGUGGAAUCGCUGGAAAGAAGAAAACGCCUUGCAAAAGAGAGAACAAAGAUUAUUCUCACACCUAACUCGGCCACAAACCAAAAUCAAAAUGCUCAUGAGCCCCUUAGAAAUAGAGAACCUACAUUGUCGAGCAAGUCAAGUGAAAGUGUGACCGUCCUAUCAGAGGAAAGUUCUGAAUCUACUUCCUCCUCAGUUGGUCACGUGAUAUUGAGCCAAUCAGGACCUGCGGCUGACGACACGCCGUGCGACACCAAAUGGGACUUCCAUUCAAAAGACUUGACUCCACGAGAACUAGAUUCCUUCACAACCUCGAAUGACUCGCCCAUCGUUACUCUUCUAAGAUACGAAAAGAAUUUAAAGAAUCGUAGAGAAAACAGAUUAAAUAACCGGUUUGGGGAUGUUUUUAGAAAAGUUGACAAAUCUGACAGCAUUUCACCGAAGGCACCGGUAAACAUGACAAGUGUCUGUUUUACUCAAGGAAUGAUUCAACCGAUGAAUAAUACAGCCAAGAAUUGUAGAUCCAAGCCAAGAACAGUACUUCCUUCCCUGGAGAUGAAAAACAAGAGUAAUGCCAAAAAAUCCAAAAUGGCUUCCAAGUUGACAAACGAUAAAACUUGUCACGAGUCAGUAAAGGGUGUAGACGCUCAGGAAUGUCGAGGGGACAAAAACCAAACAAAUUCUAUAAUGAGAAACAACACUAGUAAGAAACAGAACUUAGAUGUGAUGACGGAAAAUAAGACUGCCACAGAACCUGGGAAUAAAUCAGGGGUUGUUAAUGGAAUAAAAUUCAACUUUGAUGUCCUUGAAAACUACGCUCUUGUUCGCAACGCGAGGAAGGAUAUUAAUUUCACAGAGUAUGUCAAAAUGAUUCGUAAAUUUGAAGGUCUUUCUGUGCGGCAGAGUUUGGAAAAACAGCUCAAUGCAGAAGAAGGAAAAGGUGUGGAUUUUAGAACGAGUAUUCGAAGAAGAAAUUCAAGUGAAAAUUUAUCGUUUGAUACGGUGCGUGCGAUGUGGAACGAGGCACAGAGGAGUAGAUUAACUACACAAGCUUUAUCGGAGCGUUUAUCAUUGCAUGCUAAAGGGUUGGGAAGUAUAUUGAUGCUUAAUGUUGACCCUAAAAGCCGUUCGUCGUCUGAACCAAUUGGGAACGAAAAAGAAAAGUAUAAUUAUAAGGGGAAGUUCCACAGUGGAAAAUACACGUGUCCCUUACAACGGAUACUAGCCGUGACGAAUAAAAGAAUGCAAGCAAAUGAAGUAUUCUCGGAGCAGAUCAAGAACCAAAAACACUUGAACGUUUCCCGCGAUAAAGAGAGUACAGAAAAUAAACUUGUGGGAAUAACAAAAUCGAAGACCGGAAUACACUGUUACGUUGUGGGAAGGACCACACCAGUAUCUGAAGAUACUGCUAUGGAACAGUAAAAUCCACCAGAUCACAUGAUCCAAUCGAUAGUCGGAAAAAAACCUAGCCACCUGGCCAGCUUAAGGAACUUGUUUUCAAUAGCAUUACUAAAGCUGAAAAAAAUCAAGGAAAAACUGUAGCCAUAUUUGAGAUCCUCACAGAAAAGAUCUUAUUCCUACACUCAACACUUGUCUUACUUCAUAAAGAAUCCUCUACAUUUCUUUACUUGUAUCAGCUUCGUUCCAGUAUACCACUGGCAUUCCAAGGUCAGUGUUUUUGUCCAUCCCGGAUUGGCGCAUGCGCAUUCAGUCUUACCAAACUCUUGGAGCUCAUUGGUGAAACGGAAGAAGAGACAUGUUGUCAAAGGUCUUCAAGGUUUUAAGGAGACUUACAAGAGCGGCAACAGGUCGUCAGGAGUACUGCGAAAAAGUGGUUUUCUACAUCAGAAGCCUUGAAAUUGUGGUCUUCUUCUAAUCGAAAAGUCUCGAAAUUUCAUUUAUCGGUAAAGUUCAUCUUCCAGAUAAAGAUGCGUUACAUCCACAUCUGUGGUUUUUCACAUUAACGCGAGAUCCUCUCUUAAAAUAAGUUUUAAUUGUACCUGCAUGUAUUUAAGCGGUCACCUUCGGGACCAUGGACCCUGCCUGGUGUCCCACCGCUAAAUAGAGGUUUCUCUUACACCAUGAAUGAUGGAAAAAGGCAGACAAAUACCAGCUCCCAUGUUGGUGGUUAUAGGCUGAUACUGGAUAAUAAAACCCACUCCUGUACAAAAAAUAUUACAGCAACCAAAACAGUUACUUGAAGGCCUUAUGCUAGUCAAGGCGCUGCGAGAACUUAUGAUGAAAGUGUGCCGAAUUAAUAAAUAAUUUUUUGUCGUGUUU